rnacentral:rRNA from 1 species
UACGAAGGGGGCUAGCGUUGCUCGGAAUCACUGGGCGUAAAGCGCACGUAGGCGGAUUGCUAAGUCAGGGGUGAAAUCCUGGAGCUCAACUCCAGAACUGCCUCUGAUACUGGCGACCUUGAGUCCGGGAGAGGUGAGUGGAACUGCGAGUGUAGAGGUGAAAUUCGUAGAUAUUCGCAAGAACACCAGUGGCGAAGGCGGCUCACUGGCCCGGUACUGACGCUGAGGCACGAAGGCUAGGGGAGCAAACGGG